UUAGUUAAACAAAAAAAAAAAAUCUCAAAAAAGAAAGUUAAUCUGAAGUUUUUUUAUAUCAUAAAUUUAUUUGUGAUUAUUAUUUAGCUGAUGUACCGUUAAACUGAAGGUGGUAAGGUAAUAAAAUUUACAAAAUUUGCUCUGGCUGAAUUUUUCACUUGCAACCAUCUUGCUAUUAAACUGCCAUACGUAAAGUCACGCUUUUAAAAGUAACUGAAAGCAGCUGAAAAUAAGAAUUUUUUGAUGAACUUUCUUACUUCGGUUGGAGGAGAUGAGAAACAACUUACAGCCGCAAUCUUAAUACAGCUAAUGGCCAAAGAAAUAUGUUUUUCAUACUCAAUGUAUGGAAUGAAACAAAAACGUCCUGCAAGGUCGUUAUAGAGUUGCGUUUAGUCGUUUAUCGUUGUAUUCGUUCAUUUCGAAAUCGUUACUGACAAAAGUAUUAAA